UUGAUAAGUUUUCUUGUGUGUGAUCCGUUGGGUUCCAUACUUAGCCAGCAAUAGGUGUGAGUGCGAGUUGACCCAACUUGAUUAGAACUCUUCUAAUCGAUUUAAGUCCAAACUGCGCCAACCCGAACUUAACAAUUAGAAUCCUUUCUAAUUGGUGAUCGAAUUAAACUUUUUAAUUCGAUCAAACCUAUAAGACAAG
rnacentral:lncRNA from 1 species